GCAAGGGUAUGCUAAGAGAUGGGCUUGCGGCACAUUAGUUAGUUGGUAAGGUAACGGCUUACCAAGACUAUGAUGUGUAGCUGGACUGAGAGGUUGAACGGCCACAUUGGGAUUGAGAUACGGCCCAAACUCCUACGGGAGGCAGCAGUAAGGAAUUUUCGGCAAUGGAGGAAACUCUGACCGAGCAACGCCGCGUGAACGAUGAAAUAUUUAGGUAUGUAAAGUUCUUUUAUUAAAGAAGAAAAAAUGAUGGAAAAAUCAUUCUGACGGUAUUUAAUGAAUAAGCCCCGGCUAACUAUGUGCCAGCAGCUGCGGUAAUACAUGGGGGGCAAGCGUUAUCCGGAUUUAUUGGGCGUAAAGGGUGUGUAGGCGGUUUAAUAAGUCUAUGGUAUAAGUUCAACGCUUAACGUUGUGAUGCUAUGGAAACUGUUUGACUAGAGUUGGAUAGAGGCAAGUGGAAUUCCAUGUGUAGCGGUAAAAUGCGUAAAUAUAUGGAGGAACACCAGUAGCGAAGGCGGCUUGCUGGGUCUUAACUGACGCUGAGGCACGAAAGCGUGGGGAGCAAACAGGAUUAGAUACCCUGGUAGUCCACGCCGUAAACGAUGAGUACUAAGUGUUGGGUUAAACCAGUGCUGAAGUUAACACAUUAAGUACUCCGCCUGAGUAGUACGUACGCAAGUAUGAAACUUAAAGGAAUUGACGGGACUCCGCACAAGCGGUGGAUCAUGUUGUUUAAUUCGAAGAUACACGAAAAACCUUACCAGGUCUUGACAUACUCUGCAAAGCUAUAGAAAUAUAGUGGAGGUUAUCAGGGAUACAGGUGGUGCAUGGUUGUCGUCAGCUCGUGUCGUGAGAUGUUGGGUUAAGUCCCGCAACGAGCGCAACCCUUAUCGCUAGUUACCAUCAUUUAGUUGGGCACUUUAGUGAGACUGCCAAUGAUAAAUUGGAGGAAGGUGGGGAUUACGUCAAAUCAUCAUGCCCCUUAUGACCUGGGCUACAAACGUGAUACAAUGGCUGUUACAAAGAGUAGCUGAAGCGUGAGUUUUUAGCAAAUCUCAAAAAAACAGUCUCAGUUCGGAUUGAAGUCUGCAACUCGACUUCAUGAAG
rnacentral:rRNA from 1 species